GUGCUUGCUUUGGCAGCACAUAUACUAAAAUUAGAAUGAUACAGAGAUUAGCAUGGCCCCUGUGCAAGGAUUACAUGUAAAUUAGUGAGGCAUUACAUAUUUUA
ensembl:snRNA U6 U6 spliceosomal RNA